GGCCUAGUAGCUCAGUUGGAUAGAGCAUCAGACUUCGGAUCUGAGGGUCGGGGGUUCGAAUCCUCCCUGGGUCA
rnacentral:tRNA from 1 species